rnacentral:tRNA from 1 species
GGGCAAUUAACUCAGCGGGAGAGUAUCCGCUUGACGUGCGGAAAGCCACAGGUUCGAACCCUGUAUUGCCCACCA